GAUGAACGCUGGCGGCGUGCCUAAUACAUGCAAGUCGAGCGAACGGACGAGAAGCUUGCUUCUCUGAUGUUAGCGGCGGACGGGUGAGUAACACGUGGAUAACCUACCUAUAAGACUGGGAUAACUUCGGGAAACCGGAGCUAAUACCGGAUAAUAUUUUGAACCGCAUGGUUCAAAAGUGAAAGACGGUCUUGCUGUCACUUAUAGAUGGAUCCGCGCUGCAUUAGCUAGUUGGUAAGGUAACGGCUUACCAAGGCAACGAUGCAUAGCCGACCUGAGAGGGUGAUCGGCCACACUGGAACUGAGACACGGUCCAGACUCCUACGGGAGGCAGCAGUAGGGAAUCUUCCGCAAUGGGCGAAAGCCUGACGGAGCAACGCCGCGUGAGUGAUGAAGGUCUUCGGAUCGUAAAACUCUGUUAUUAGGGAAGAACAUAUGUGUAAGUAACUGUGCACAUCUUGACGGUACCUAAUCAGAAAGCCACGGCUAACUACGUGCCAGCAGCCGCGGUAAUACGUAGGUGGCAAGCGUUAUCCGGAAUUAUUGGGCGUAAAGCGCGCGUAGGCGGUUUUUUAGUCUGAUGUGAAAGCCCACGGCUCAACCGUGGAGGGUCAUUGGAAACUGGAAAACUUGAGUGCAGAAGAGGAAAGUGGAAUUCCAUGUGUAGCGGUGAAAUGCGCAGAGAUAUGGAGGAACACCAGUGGCGAAGGCGACUUUCUGGUCUGUAACUGACGCUGAUGUGCGAAAGCGUGGGGAUCAAACAGGAUUAGAUACCCUGGUAGUCCACGCCGUAAACGAUGAGUGCUAAGUGUUAGGGGGUUUCCGCCCCUUAGUGCUGCAGCUAACGCAUUAAGCACUCCGCCUGGGGAGUACGACCGCAAGGUUGAAACUCAAAGGAAUUGACGGGGACCCGCACAAGCGGUGGAGCAUGUGGUUUAAUUCGAAGCAACGCGAAGAACCUUACCAAAUCUUGACAUCCUUUGACAACUCUAGAGAUAGAGCCUUCCCCUUCGGGGGACAAAGUGACAGGUGGUGCAUGGUUGUCGUCAGCUCGUGUCGUGAGAUGUUGGGUUAAGUCCCGCAACGAGCGCAACCCUUAAGCUUAGUUGCCAUCAUUAAGUUGGGCACUCUAAGUUGACUGCCGGUGACAAACCGGAGGAAGGUGGGGAUGACGUCAAAUCAUCAUGCCCCUUAUGAUUUGGGCUACACACGUGCUACAAUAGACAAUACAAAGGGCAGCGAAACCGCGAGGUCAAGCAAAUCCCAUAAAGUUGUUCUCAGUUCGGAUUGUAGUCUGCAACUCGACUACAUGAAGCUGGAAUCGCUAGUAAUCGUAGAUCAGCAUGCUACGGUGAAUACGUUCCCGGGUCU
rnacentral:rRNA from 1 species